UCUAUAAUUUGAGAUAUGGGCUGAACACCAAAUAGUGUAUGGGCUAUAGGAUAAAUUCAGACUUCUGUUUUUUUGCUAAGAUUUUAACUUCAAAAUGACAGUGAUAAAUCUUGGACUCCUCAUUAAUGUUUUAGGCCUAUGUCUUAGCUUUCCAUC
rfam:Populus trichocarpa scaffold_15_contig_109, whole genome shotgun sequence.